GAUGAACGCUGGCGGCGUGCCUAAUACAUGCAAGUCGAGCGAACGGACGAGAAGCUUGCUUCUCUGAUGUUAGCGGCGGACGGGUGAGUAACACGUGGAUAACCUGCCUAUAAGACUGGGAUAACUUCGGGAAACCGUAGCUAAUACCGGAUAAUAUUUUGAACCGCAUGGUUCAAAAGUGAAAGACGGUCUUGCUGUCACUUAUAGAUGGAUCCGCGCUGCAUUAGCUAGUUGGUAAGGUAACGGCUUACCAAGGCAACGAUGCAUAGCCGACCUGAGAGGGUGAUCGGCCACACUGGAACUGAGACACGGUCCAGACUCCUACGGGAGGCAGCAGUAGGGAAUCUUCCGCAAUGGGCGAAAGCCUGACGGAGCAACGCCGCGUGAGUGAUGAAGGUCUUCGGAUCGUAAAACUCUGUUAUUAGGGAAGAACAUAUGUGUAAGUAACUGUGCACAUCUUGACGGUACCUAAUCAGAAAGCCACGGCCAACUACGUG
rnacentral:rRNA from 1 species